UACGAAGGGGGGCUAGCGUUGCUCGGAUUGACUGGGCGUAAAGGGCGCGUAGGCGGAUAGUACAGUCAGGCGUGAAAUUCCUGGGCUCAACCUGGGGGGCUGCGUUUGAUACGUGUUUGUCUGGAGUUCGGAAGAGGGUCGUGGAAUUCCCGAGUGUAGAGGUGAAAUUCGUAGAUAUUGGGAAGAACACCGGUGGCGAAGGCGGCGACCUGGUCCGAUACUGACGCUGAGGAGCGAAAGCAUGGGGAGCGAACAGG
rnacentral:rRNA from 1 species